GACGAACGCUGGCGGCGUGCUUAACACAUGCAAGUCGAACGAAGUGGCGAACGGGUGAGUAACGCGUAAUCAACCUGCCCUUCAGAGGGGGACAACAGUUGGAAACGACUGCUAAUACCGCAUACUGAAGGAGGGGAUUGCGUCGGAUUAGUUAUUUGGAGGGGUAACGGCCCACCAAGGCGAUGAUCAGUAGCCGGUCUGAAGGGAUGAACGGCUACAUUUGGACUGAGACCCGGCCCAGACUGCUCCGGGAGGCAGCAGUGGGGGGUCGUGCGAGAUGGGCGUAAGUCUGACAGAGCAAGGCCACGGCAGAGAGAACGGCCUUCCGGUUGUAGGGCGCUAUGAAUCGUGGCGCGGUACCGAAGUAGAGUGCCACGGCUAACUACGUGCCAGCAGCCGCGGUAAUUC
rnacentral:rRNA from 1 species